GACGAACGCUGGCGGCGUGCUUAACACAUGCAAGUCGAACGAAGUGGCGAACGGGUGAGUAACGCGUAAUAAACCUGCCCUUCAGAGGGGAACAACAGUUGGAAACGACUGCUACUACCGCAUACUGAAGGAGGAGAUUGCGUCUGAUUAGCUAGUUGGAGGGGUAACGGCCCACCAAGGCGAUGAGCAGUAGCCGGGCUGGGAGGAGGGACGGCCACCAUGGGAAGGAGAGACGGGCCAGGCUCCUACGGGAAGACGGAGUGGGGGAUCUUCCGCAAUGGACGAAAGUCCGACGGAGCAAAGGCGCGGGAGUGAUGAAGGCCUUCGGGUUGUAAAGCUCUGUUAAUCGGGAAGCGGUACCGGAAUAGAAAGCCACGGCUAACUACGUGCCAGCAGCCGCGGUAAUAC
rnacentral:rRNA from 1 species